AGAGUCACUCCUACGGGAGGCAGCAGUGGGGAAUUUUGCGCAAUGGGGGAAACCCUGAUCCAGCCAUGCCGCGUGUGUGAAGAAGGCCUUCGGGUUGUAAAGCACUUUCGGCCGGAACGAAAUCGCGCGGGCGAAUAUCCAGCGUGGAUGACGGUACCGGAAGAAGAAGCACCGGCUAACUACGUGCCAGCAGCCGCGGUAAUACGUAGGGUGCGAGCGUUAAUCGGAAUUACUGGGCGUAAAGCGUGCGCAGGCGGUUCUCCAAGUCCGUUGUGAAAGCCCCGGGCUCAACCUGGGAAUGGCAGUGGAAACUAGGGGACUGGAAUCUGGCAGAGGGGGGUGGAAUGCCGCGUGUAGCAGUGAAAUGCGUAGAUAUCAGGAGGAAUACCGAUGGCGAAGGCAGGUCUCUGGGCUGACACUGACGCUCAUGCACGAAAGCGUGGGGAGCGAACGGGAUUAGAUACCCCGGUAGUCCACGCCCUAAACUAUGGAUGCUAGGCAUUAGUGGCAUCGACCCCCCUAGUGCCGAAGUUAACACGUUAAGCAUCCCGCCUGGGGAGUACGGUCGCAAGGCUGAAACUUAAAGGAAUUGACG
rnacentral:rRNA from 1 species